AAAUUGAGGGAGUUAUGGCCAAAAAUUGGGUAUUUUGAAAAUCAUGACCUUGAGUUUGACCUUUCAAGGUCAUCCGAGGUCAACAAAAUUGGUACCAAAUGAAAGGCCAUAUCAGACUUCCUAUAAGUCGAUAAUACUAUGUUAGUCUAUAUCUGCCAUCAUUUCACAGAUAAAAACCAUUUCCUGAAUUUACACACAAGUGACAUGGAAACUUUCAACCGUUAUAAUUCAGAUACCAAAAGUGAUAGAGGAAAACUAAAAGAACACGAUUUCCUACUUUUCAAAGCUGAACAUUGUGGUAGAAGUCAUAUUCUUUUAUCUUAAACAGUUCCUGAGUUAUAAGUGAAUGGAAAUU